GAGUUUAUAUUCCUACGGGAAGCAGCAGUGAGGAAUUUUUCACAAUGGACGAAAGUCUGAUGGAGCAAUCCCACGUGAACGAUGAAGGUCUUCUGAUUGUAAAGUUCUUUUAUUUAGGAAAAAAAGCGCGCUAGGAAAUCAGCGCCCCCG
rnacentral:rRNA from 1 species